rnacentral:lncRNA from 1 species
UCCUUAAAAUUUUUAGCUCUUUGUUAAUCCAAAGAGCUGAAAAUAUUUCAAGUUGAACAUGGCCACCAACCAUCUGGCUGAGUUAGAAGUUUAUUUAGUAAUCUCCUUAUCAGCCAAACAGCUGGAAGUCUAGAUAAGUCCUCUGUGUAAGAAGCCAGUGUCAACUUGUUUCCAGAUAAUAGUAGAGAGGAAAAAAUGUAUUAGAAAAAAAAGGAGUUCAUCAGUAGGAACUAAUUUGGGAGUUUUGUUGGCAUGCACUGAACACCCAGUGUUGGUGAGUUUGUCAUCAACUGAACUAACUGGAGACUUGAAGGAUACUUCGUGUGUCAUUGACAAACUUAGAAAGCAUAACUCCAACCGGUCCUUAGAGGCUGCUUUGUGGAUUGCUAAAGGCCAUCCAAAAUCCAAUUUUGUUGUUGUUGGAAUGCAACAUCAUCCUGCACUUACAGAAUUAUCCUUUAAGAACUGCAGAGUGCUUUUCAAAUGAAGAUGCAUCUUCCUGAUGAACUAGAAGGAAAAAUGAAGGAACUGGAUGAUUUAUAUAUCUUCUUGCAAUAGGAGAGUGAAUUGGCAAAAUGUGAAAGAAUAAAAUACCAGAGUCUCCGCCCCCUCUUACUAGCAUCCUGUAUUGUAAAACUUAACUUUCUUUUUCUUCAGAAUUUCUUGGAAUUAUGUCAGGCAAAAAAAAAAAAAAAAAAAAGGCAACUUGAUCUUUGGCUUUGGGGUACUUUAUAACAAGGAUGUAAAGCAGCUACGAAUCUGGGAAUCCAUACACAGUGAUGUCCUUUUGAAAGGCAUUUGGCAUUGAAAAGCAUCAAGGCUAUUUUCUUUAAUGAGGAGCUUGCAUUUGCUCUGUAAAUUAUUUCAUCAAACUGUGCAUUUUAAAGCAAUUGAUAAUCCUAGGGAAGCAUUACCAUAAGCAACACAUUUUAACUGUUGCUAGCAUGUCAGGCAAGAAAAUAAAUACCAUGAUAUAUCAGACCAAUAACAAGUCAGAAAAAUACUGUCUCUGAGAGGGAGAUGAAAGAAUUUUUCUGACCGGGUAUAAUACAGUGGAAUUAUUUGUUGUACUGUGGUAUGAUACUAAACUCAGUAUGUUAGGUCCAAUUUGGGUAUAAUCAAGACUCUUUGAAAAACAAUUGCCCAUGAAACACCAUAUGCAUGGUUUAGGUAUGAACCCUGAGCAAAACAAAUGGAAGGCUGCAUGCCUCCUUCUGAUGCUUUGCCUUUAAACUAAAUGAAUAGAAGACCGGCGGAGAAUUCUUUAGUAGUCCCAAUUGCCUGCAGGGUUUGUGUACUCCUUGAUAAUAUAAAGCUGUAUAAAAAUCACAAUGUUCAUAGCAAUUUUUUAUUGUGAGGAUUAAAUAAAAAUGGAAAACAAUCUUGGGUGGGGGUUCAGUUCAAAGGCAGCACAGAGUAUACAAGUUAUGACUAGUCUUUUUCUAUCUCACCUUCUCGAAAUUAGAGACAUACCACAUAAAUCAAUUAAUCAACAAAUAAUGAUUUAUUUAGUGUCAGUUUUGUGCUUAUUCUCAGCUUAGGUCCAGUGAAGUGCACA